AUUUAUUUAUUUAUUUAUUUAUUUAUUUAUUUAUUUUUGCUUCUUAUGUUGCCCUUUAUUUCUGGAUUGUUCUUUAGAAUUUCUCUAUUUUUGUCCUGAUAAAAAAUAAUUUCUCCAUUUUGGUAUCAAAUGUUGUCACUGAUGUACUGUUUAUCCUCUUCACCCUGUUAGUUCGCUUCAAUUGUAAGUGAUAUAUAUAUGAUUAUGGUUGGAGAACAAAAUCAUGUUUUUUCUUAUCAAUCUCAAAAGAUAAUCGUACAUGGGGCCUACCUUUUUGGUUCUGGUAAUUGAAUGGGUAUGGGCAUAUGAAAGUGAUGGGUUGUAUUCAUAUGUGGUUUUUGAAAAAUUUCACGACUUUGUCACUCUGGUUACAAAGCUACUUUCAUUUGCAGUUCUGAGAUCAUGAGUAUCUUGAACAACACAAAUCGCCAGAAACAGGUUUUGGAGCAUUGACAGGUCCUGAAAAUCUUUGAAGAGGAAUUGAAGAUUGGGCUUCUCAUGUGUCAAUUUAGUUACACUUUAUUUACCAGUUUACUUCAUCUAUUGUCGAAGCUACCUUACAACGCUACAAGAGCAUAAACAAAGGGGUAUCUACAGUAGUAGAAAGUCUUAAAUGAUAGCGGGAGCUUAGUGCACCGGGCUACCCUAAAGGAGAGUCAGGCUGCACAAAUGUGGAUGAUUGGAGGCUCGGAUGGGGCAGUAUCUCGGGAAGAAGUGAUAUUGCUUACCCACCAUAGAUCAGGCAUAUAGAAGCUGCAAGGUCCAAUGAUCAAAGAUUGACUUUCCCCUCCAUUUUACGCUAUGUCGUUUACGUUUUGAACAUUGAAUGGAUUUGGUCUUUUACUCUGGCUCAGUGCGUAGACAGGGAUGCAAUAAAAUGCAAUUAAGGGAGGUGCAAGCCAUAAUGUAGAUUUGAACUUGGGAAUAGCCUCCUCUGUUUUAGCUGAUGACCAGCCUGGUGAUCUUCUUGUGUCGAUUUUUAUAAAUUUUCAGGACAAAGGGUGCUACUUCCAGCUCUUUUGCGGCCUAAACGAGUCUUCACUUGUGCUCUAAAGGUAUGUCGUGCGUAGCAAGAUAUGUGGACUUCCCGAAAUGAGAUACUUUGCUGGUUUUCAUAAAUUUUUCUUCUGGAAUGAGUUUGCAUGGGCCUGAUUAAAUAGGAAGUUUAGUCCAAAAUACAAAUCAGAGAAUUCUAUAGGAUGAAAAAAACAUUGUGAGAUAAUUGAUCAUAGUAUGCUAAAAGUGAGAAGUCACCAUAGUUGAAAGUUAGUUUUCGAAAAUACCCUUUAAAAGUUAAAUGCCUAAAUACCAAUAUUUUAAAAUAAUAUUAUUACAAGUUUCUGGUGGUAAAAAUACAACUUCUAGGCUGAGUUUUUGCAGAUACAAAUGAAUAUUAAAAGGGGUGUCUUAUUAAAUGGUAUCGUAGAGGCUUUUCAACUCCUACCGUUGGGCUACAAGUAGUUUCUCCUUAAAUCUUUCAACUCAAAUUGUUAUUUACCAGUGUAUUCCUUCUAUUAUGAGUGCUGAUUGAUUAAAUCUACGUAAGAGAAUCAAGUAUAAGAUAUUUUCUCUGGAUUUGGAUUGUUGUAACAUUCUCAGUUCUAAUAAUUUCACAAGCAAAUUUCCAGAGAAACUGAAUAAUCUGGCAAAGAUUGAAAUAUGACUCUGUGAAUGCAUCUGGACUGUACAUUUAGUGAGACAUCUUUUUGGGUCUUCUUCAUAGUAGUAUUUGAUUUUUGUAAUGUGAGCUCAAUAUUGAGGAAUAUGAUGAGUUCAGAUUGUCAACAACUAAGGAAGUUGAAUAAGAAGCACAUAGACUUCGGGAUUUACUCAAUGUCGCCAACUUUACAAGACAAUACUGUGCAAAUGUACAAUAUUUAUCAAUCAUGAGGAUUACAAUACUCGUGAGAAAAAGUUCAAGUUUUUCAUAAUCAAAGGUGUACCCAUCACAUGUAUUUUGAGGUUUCAAGUAGAAGAUCAUUUUAGAUGGUGUAUUUAGUUUUUUAAAACUCAUGUUUCUGUAAUUAUAACCAAAUUGAUGGCAUGAAGAUAUCUUUGCUAUAGUUCAGUUAUGUUUGCAUGCUUUAUUUAAACACACCAGCUGACCUACAUAUCAAUGUACAAAAAGGGAUUUUAGCUCAUGUUUGGCCUGUGAAAUGUUAUUUUCAUAUGGUGUUUGAAGUUUA